rnacentral:rRNA from 1 species
GAGAACGCGUGGCGGCGUGCCUAAUACUGCUUCUCGAGCGAACGGACUAUAAGCAUUGCUUCUCUGUAUUGUUAGCGGCGGACGGGAGAUUAACACGUGGAUCACCUACCUAUAAGACUGUGUGAUGACAUUCGGGAGACCGGAGCUAAUACCGUGAUACAUAUUUUGAACCGCAUGGUUCAAAAGUGAAAGACGGUCUUGCUGUCGCUUGUAGAUGGAUCCGCGCUGCAUUAUCUAGUUGGUAAGGUAACGGCUUACCAAUGCAACUAUGCAUAUCCGACCUGAGAGGGUGAUCGGCCGCUCUGGAUCUGAGACACAGUCCACACUCCUACUGGAGGCACCAGUUGGGAAUCUUCCUCAAUGGGCUAAAGCCUGACCGACCAACGCCGCGUGAUUGAUGAAUGUCUUCGGAUCAGGAAACUCUGAUUUUAUGGAGGAACAUAUGUGUCUGUAACUGUGCACAUCUGGACCGUCCCUAGUCAGAAAGCCCCGGCUAUCUACUUGCCUUCAGCCUCGGUAAUACAUACGUGGCAAGCAUUGUCCGGAGUUAUUGCUCGUAAAAGCGCGCGUAGGCGGUUUUUUAAGUCUGAUGUGAAAGCCCACGGCUCAACCGUGGAGGGUCAUUGGAAACUGGAAAACUUGAGUGCAGAAGAGGAAAGUGGAAUUCCAUGUGUAGCGGUGAAAAUGCGCAGAGAUAUGGAGGAACACCAGUGGCGAAGGCGACUUUCUGGUCUGUAACUGACGCUGAUGUGCGAAAGCGUGGGGAUCAAACAGGAUUAGAUACCCUGGUAGUCCACGCCGUAAACGAUGAGUGCUAAGUGUUAGGGGGUUUCCGCCCCUUAGUGCUGCAGCUAACGCAUUAAGCACUCCGCCUGGGGAGUACGACCGCAAGGUUGAAACUCAAAGGAAUUGACGGGGACCCGCACAAGCGGUGGAGCAUGUGGUUUAAUUCGAAGCAACGCGAAGAACCUUACCAAAUCUUGACAUCCUUUGACAACUCUAGAGAUAGAGCUUUCCCCUUCGGGGGACAAAGUGACAGGUGGUGCAUGGUUGUCGUCAGCUCGUGUCGUGAGAUGUUGGGUUAAGUCCCGCAACGAGCGCAACCCUUAAGCUUAGUUGCCAUCAUUAAGUUGGGCACUCUAAGUUGACUGCCGGUGACAAACCGGAGGAAGGUGGGGAUGACGUCAAAUCAUCAUGCCCCUUAUGAUUUGGGCUACACACGUGCUACAAUGGACAAUACAAAGGGCAGCGAAACCGCGAGGUCAAGCAAAUCCCAUAAAGUUGUUCUCAGUUCGGAUUGUAGUCUGCAACUCGACUACAUGAAGCUGGAAUCGCUAGUAAUCGUAGAUCAGCAUGCUACGGUGAAUACGUUCCCGGGUCU